ensembl:lncRNA ARHGAP15-AS1 ARHGAP15 antisense RNA 1
UCUCAGCACCAGUUUUAUGGAGCCCCCACCGCUAAGCAAGUAUGCAAAAUGCAGUGCUGCUUCGCAUUGGGAAAUCCCCAAUCUGGUGCCAAGAGGUUCAUAAAUACAGUAAUGGACCCUCUUAUGUCAAAAGAACUUUGGAAAAAUGCAGACAUUAAAACAGAAAAAACAUUGCUUGUUGUCUUUUUUCUUUGGAUCUGUAGAGUUACCAGAAGAAAAAGAUGGGAACAGUGGUAAAGUUAGUACAUUUCCUAGGAUUUAGAUCUACUGGAAAUGUCUGGACCCCUGCAGGCCUCUAGCCACAAGAUUGCAUCACCUAUCAUAAAACUCCCUGGCUGUGCUUUUCUACUGAGUUCACAUUUACAGUACUAAUAAUGCCUUCAGUACAAGUCAUUUCCAGGGAAUUAAAUCUUUGCAGUCAGUGGGUUAAAUCCCCAUGAAAUAACCUGCAGGUGACCCAGUUGGAUUGAUCUCAAGUAUAGAAUUUCAGAUCAAUAGUUGCUGUACUUGGAUUCUGAGAUAUAAAACAAUCCCUAGUGUUUUUGUUACCCCAAUGAGUAUUAUCAGACAAGGGAUUACUAUGGCAAUUGCAGGGUCUUAUGAUAUUAAUGGGGUUUUUUUUUUUUUGGUCCAAAAAGAAGUUAUUUUAAAAAGUAAAUGCCUUCUGUUCACUCUUCUUGG